rnacentral:sRNA from 1 species
CGACGUUGUUAAAUUCCUAAGUGAACAGAAAUAACGAUGAAGUGAACAACAAAACGCCGGGUUAACCGGCGUUUUUGU